GCGGACUCUAUCUCUCCAUCCUUCUUUCGGAGGGGCACUAAAUUGCGCGCUUAUAAAACCUCAUGGAGAGUCUCGAGGCACGAUGAUAUGCUACACAGCAACACCCGACACUCUAUUGCAACUUGAGAUGCAGACCGCGCGCACAUGUAUAUAGAUGGGGGUGCUUUAGCUUUUAUCAGCACAAGUGGGAGUGGAAUUUUCUAAAAAGGAAGAUCUUCCACAACACAAUUUGAAGAUGCUCUCUCACACUUAAAGUCAAUUUGUCAUGGAGUGGAAUGGGCUCUCUUGAACUUGUGGUUGCUGUGUGUAUGAUUGAUUGUAGCCGCACCACAAUAGUCACCUAAUGUACAGAAGUGACACCUUGAUAACACAUGCCACGAUGGUAAACAUUAAUAAAUUAAUUAAGGUGAAGUAAACAGCUAUAAUAUGUGAUAAUUUUUUAUCUCAAAAUUCCCCUCAUGUCUUGGGCGACUGAAAAAUUCAUUUUUUUUGUUCAGACAUAAAAAUCAUUUUAGCACAACAUACCCUGCGACCAAGAGUGCUGGAGAGACUGAAUGACUGCGAAUUGACGCGAAUCAUUUUGUUGUUGUGUGAUCACUUGCAGCAGGAUCUAAUCCCAAAUUGAUAUCUUCCCACUCAGGAUGCGCACUUACACUGAACACGGGGGCAUUGAGGUUAAUUUUAAAUGCUCACUCAUGCCCAAAAUCGAUGGUGAUUUGCAAACUAAUUAGUAACUCAACAUUGCACUUGAAGAAUUUUUACGCACACACUUUCGAAUUUGCCGGAAAAUAUCACAUUAAAUAAAAUUUUAUGAGCAAAAAAUAAAGUGUAUCGAAUCGA